ACGCUCGACACCUACGAGAGGCAGCAGUGGGGAAUAUUGCACAAUGGGGGAAACCCUGAUGCAGCGACGCCGCGUGAGUGAAGAAGUAUUUCGGUAUGUAAAGCUCUAUCAGCAGGGAAGAAGAUGACGGUACCUGAGUAAGAAGCCCCGGCUAACUACGUGCCAGCAGCCGCGGUAAUCUGAGCGGGCUGGCAAGGC
rnacentral:rRNA from 1 species